GCCGUUGUAGCUCAGCUGGUAGAGCACUUCCAUGGUAAGGAAGAGGUCACCGGUUCAAUCCCGGUCAACGGCUCCA
rnacentral:tRNA from 1 species